AACGAACGCUGGCGGCAGGCCUAACACAUGCAAGUCGAGCGAGGACUUCGGUCCUAGCGGCGGACGGGUGAGUAACGCGUGGUAACGUGCCCUUUGCUUCGGAAUAGCCCUGGGAAACUGGGAGUAAUACCGGAUGAGCCCUGUGGGGGAAAGAUUUAUCGGCGAAGGAUCGGCCCGCGUUGGAUUAGGUAGUUGGUGGGGUAAUGGCCUACCAAGCCGACGAUCCAUAGCUGGUUUGAGAGGAUGAUCAGCCACACUGGGACUGAGACACGGCCCAGACUCCUACGGGAGGCAGCAGUGGGGAAUCUUAGACAAUGGGGGAAACCCUGAUCUAGCCAUGCCGCGUGAGCGAUGCAGGCCUUAGGGUUGUAAAGCUCUUUCAGCUGGGAAGAUAAUGACGGUACCAGCAGAAGAAGCCCCGGCUAACUCCGUG
rnacentral:rRNA from 1 species